UAUGUUCCUGGGUUACCAUCUCAGGUCAGUGAUUGUCCCAGUAGUAAAAACUGUCGAACAUUUACUUCAGUCAGCUAUCCAUUGGUAUUUAUUGUAGCUGCACAUAUUAAAAGACAAAAUGUCUAAAGGCAUUUUGCCAUGAAUAUGUUUUGUAUAUGUGAGGCUUCAACCCUUCGGAUAUUCUGCCCCUUACACAAGUUCCAAAGCAAGUAAGACCCAUCCCUCUCACUUGUCAAGUGAGUAAAAGGGGUCCGUCGAGCAGGGUCACAGGGAACUGCUGUCUCAAAUGAGUCUCCCCCACUCUCUGGGCACUACCUAGUUUAAUUUCCAUCAGACAUAAAGAUAGUUCCACAAGCCAAUAUGGUCAAAAGCCUCAUGUGAGGGGUAUUGCAGCUUGUAAAAGUAAUUUCCAAAAUGAAACACAUUCAUCAUAAACAAAAGCACAAACACAUGUAGCGGUUUUAGACUUUUUGUUUAAUCUCAAUUCGUCUUUCUCCCCUGGACUAGAAAUCCAGUCUAGUUUGCCAUUAAUUUAUUGACUCUGGGUUUGGACAAUGCUUCUGUAGUGUAACUGCACGUCCCAGUACUGUAUCCUCUGACCUUUAUUUUUUCACACGUUACAAAAGGAAAAGAGUGAAGAUUACCCUUGCAUAAACUCUAAUUUGCACAGUUCACAGCUACUACUUGUGCAGUAGUUGCUUUAUGCGGCUGUAAUCUAUAACCCGUGAAGACAGCACAUCAUCUAAAAUCUCAUUCCAAAUAAUAUUUCUGUGUAGUGUUAGCUGUGAAUUUACCCUGUACAGCUGUAUCUCUAUAAAUAUAAUUCCGUGUAUUAAUAGUCACAGAAAGACUGUAAGUGAGCAACUAUUUUUAUGAAACGCACCACUAUGGAUAAAUUAACUUUUACAGAAAUCUUGUUUACUGUAUGAUAUUCUAAAACACUGUCAAAUAAAAUAUAUAUCCAAAAAUCUUUUCCUUUUUCAGCUAUAUAAA
rnacentral:lncRNA from 1 species